rnacentral:tRNA from 1 species
ACCAAUUUGGCGGAGAAACGCGCAAAGCUUGGGCCUUUGAGGGGGGUACUUCUGAUUGGUG